rnacentral:rRNA from 1 species
GUAGGGAAUAUUGCACAAUGGGGGAAACCCUGAUGCAGCGACGCCGCGUGAGUGAUGAAGGCCUUCGGGUCGUAAAGCUCUGUCGUAUGGGACUAACACAAUGAAGGUACCAUGCAAGAAAGGAUCGGCUAACUUCGUGCCAGCAGCCGCGGUAAGACGAGGGAUCCUAGCGUUGUUCGGAAUCAUUGGGCGUAAAGCGGGUGUAGGCGGAUUUAUAAGUCAGGUGUGAAAUCCCAGGGCUCAACCCUGGAAGUGCACUUGAUACUGUAAAUCUUGAGUGUGGUAGAGGUUACUGGAAUUGUUGGUGUAGUGGUGAAAUACGUAGAUAUCAACAGGAAUACCGGAGGCGAAGGCGAGUAACUGGGCCAACACUGACGCUGAGACCCGAAAGCGUGGGGAUCAAACAGGAUUAGAUACCCUGGUAGUCCC